UCCAGGCCCCCCGAUGGGGCGGGGCGGAGGAGCCAAGCGGGCGGUGGGAAUUUCUAGCGGCGGUUUCAAGGCCGCCCCUUCCCCUCCGCUGUCUCAGCGGCCGCGCGGCCGCCGUCUCCGAAUCGCCGGGCCGGCAGGGCCUGGCCUGGCCUGGCCGAUCCCCACAGACAAGUUGGCGGUGGCUGCCCCCGCGGGCCUCUCCUCUGCGCUCCUGGCGCGGGGUGAUGCCCCGCCCUCCCCACCUCCUUCCCCAUUUUCUUUGGGGCGGGAUGGGGUGGUAGCCAAAUGAAGAUUUUGGUGGCCAUGGAGGGUCGCAGCAUCCUGGGAGGGAGGGAGGGAGGGAGGGAGGGUUGCGCGUUUCCUCGGAAGUAAGACCUCGCCGCAGUUAACUCACAGGGAAGAAGCAAGCGCAGGACUGACUCCCCGCGGCCCGAUCCCAGGCAUGCUUACUCGGAUGUAAGUUCCACCAUGUGCCAUAAGCCCUCCGCGGCAGUGUUGGAAGAAAACCUGCAGUUGGUUGAAUUUCCCUUCUCUUAAAGAUCCAGAAUCAUUCUCAGGCCCUGAGCCUGGCAACCCUACCCCAGGGAGCCCAGAAGCAAUGCUCUGCCUAGCGUCAACCUCCCAGCAAAUGUUACUAAGGGACAUACUCCUUCAGAAGAGGAAAGCUGCGUUUCGCUGUCAUGCAUCAAUAUAGCUAAUAGGUCUCCUCCUCUAUGACUUUGCAGAAACCCUUCUUGAAACCAUCUAGGUCAGAGGCCCUCACCACAUCUUAUGGCAGGGAGUUCCAAAAGGGAGUUUUGGCACAGAAGCACAGAAAAUAAUAGCAAAUCUGAAAUACAGUUAACAUGAUUUUUACACUGGAAUCCCCAUUGCAGGAUGUUAGUGCCCGAUGCAUGUAUGGACUGCAGCUUCGCCAUGGGACUCCUGUUAGUGAAGGCUGUGCCCAUCAUGGGCCCCAAUUCUUGGUCUUCAUCACUUCUUGCUGUCUUCAGAGGUCGGUCAGUGCUAUCGCUUAUGUAGCCAGAACACCGCCACACAUGCACAUCUGCUGAUACCUAGGCGUAGGGACAACCCCCCCAAGGUUUCCAGACAUGCAAAAGAGGGGGGGAAUCCCAAAUGGUGAGGGAACUCUCAAAACAGCCCAGUGAGGACAGGGGGCAGGACACAGACAUAGAAUGGUGACAGUAUGAAGGGGGGAGGGAAUGGAGUGGCUGGAACCCUGGACAGCAGCACUUCAGACUGCAACAUUUUAUGGCAGUUCCCACUUGUAAGACGUUAAGAACCCUACGGGAAUAGACUCAAGGCUCAUCCAAUGCUGGGUCUUGCUUCAUGCUUGAGCAAUCGGACUCUUCCAGCCUCAGCCCUACAGCAGGAAUUGUCCAAAGUCACAAGAUGCAAAAAGAUCUGAGUUUGGUCAGUGCUUGGAUGACAGACCACCUGGAAAACCAAUGUACGCUGCCUAGAGCUCCAUGCUAGAAGAAUAAACAAUAAGCUUUUAACAGCUACUCAUGCCCAAUUCAGACAUAAGAUCCUUUAGGUUUUUUUCCUGUAGCUUCUGAAAUUCCAUUCAGUGCUGUAUGGAUCUACAAAUAUCACAGACACACAAUAUAAAUAUAUUAGCUGCAGAGAGCUUGUCAUGACAAGAUGUAAUCAAUAAAUCUCACACCAGUUGUGGCUUAUUUCUGCAUUUUGAUGCCCCUCACCUCUUUUAAUGUGUUGGUGCCUUUUCACCUCUGCAGCUGCAAUCUGAGGAGCUGUUAAGCCAGAUUUGUAAUAACUGCAAGAAAAUACCCACACACAUGCAUAUGGUACAUCAGGGCAGUGAAAGGAAGCAAGAACUUUGAAUAUUUCUUAAAAAGUAAAUGAGAUUUAUUUACUUAUUUUUAAAACUUAUAUCCCACUUAAAAUCUCUAAGCAGUUCACACAAAAUACAGCUACAGAAUAACAAGCAAAAAGUAAUAACAUAAUACCAAAACACAAUUAAAAUUCAAUUAAAAAAUUAACCAGAAUAUUACAACAGAAAUAUUGAGCAAUGUGAUCACCAAAUCAAUUUGCAAGAAAAUGCAGGUGCCAGCCAAUCAUUUUAAAUAAAGCUAACAUGAAAAUAUAUUGCCUAUUUUGGAUGGUACCCUCUGAAAAUAUCAAAGCUGUCCUACAUCAUUACACAGAAGUAGGGGGUGAUGGGGUGGUAUGUCCCCCCUCCCCAAGAAGGUCCAUGUUUGAAUGCAGAGGUGGACAUUUCCACUUCAGCUGCUCCAGCUGAGUUGAGCAGACUUGC